CGGCAGGCUUAACACAUGCAAGUCGAGCGGGGGAAGGUAGCUUGCUACCGGACCUAGCGGCGGACGGGUGAGUAAUGCUUAGGAAUCUGCCUAUUAGUGGGGGACAACAUCUCGAAAGGGAUGCUAAUACCGCAUACGUCCUACGGGAGAAAGCAGGGGAUCUUCGGACCUUGCGCUAAUAGAUGAGCCUAAGUCGGAUUAGCUAGUUGGUGGGGUAAAGGCCUACCAAGGCGACGAUCUGUAGCGGGUCUGAGAGGAUGAUCCGCCACACUGGGACUGAGACACGGCCCAGACUCCUACGGGAGGCAGCAGUGGGGAAUAUUGGACAAUGGGGGGAACCCUGAUCC
rnacentral:rRNA from 1 species